ACUCCUACGGGAGGCAGCAGUGGGGAAUCUUGGACAAUGGGCGCAAGCCUGAUCCAGCCAUGCCGCGUGAGUGAUGAAGGCCUUAGGGUCGUAAAGCUCUUUCGCCAGGGAUGAUAAUGACAGUACCUGGUAAAGAAACCCCGGCUAACUCCGUGCCAGCAGCCGCGGUAAUACGGAGGGGUUAGCGUUGUUCGGAAUUACUGGGGCGUAAAGCGCGCGUAGGCGGACCAGAAAGUUGGGGGUGAAAUCCCGGGGGCUCAACCCCGGAACUGCCUCCAAAACUCCUGGUCUAGAGUUCGAGAGAGGUGAGUGGAAUUCCGAGUGUAGAGGUGAAAUUCGUAGAUAUUCGGAGGAACACCAGUGGCGAAGGCGGCUCACUGGCUCGAUACUGACGCUGAGGUGCGAAAGUGUGGGAGC
rnacentral:rRNA from 1 species